AAUAGCUCACUAGUCGAGUCGGCCUGCGCGGAAGAUGUAACGGGGCUCAAACUGGAUACCGAAGCUGCGGCUGCAUACUAUGUAUGCGGGGUAGGGGAGCGUUGUGUAAGUCUGUGAAGGUGUGUUGAGAAGCAUGCUGGAGAUAUCACAAGUGCGAAUGCUGACGUGAGUAACGAUAAUGGGAGUGAAAAACUCCCACGCCGAAAGACCAAGGUUUCCUGCGCAACGCUAAUCGGCGCAGGGUGAGUCGGCCCCUAAGGCGAGGCAGAAAUGCGUAGCUGAUGGGAAACGGGUUAAUAUUCCCGUACUUCUUAUAACUGCGAUGGAGAGACGGAGAAGGCUAUGCCUACCGGGCGUUGGUUGUCCCGGGGAAAGGCUGUAGGCUGAGGUGUUAGGCAAAUCCGGCACCUUAAGGCUGAGAGUCGAGACCACUGGUCCUUUGUGACCGGGAAGUGGUUGAUGCCAUGCUUCCAGGAAAAUCUUCUAAGCUUCAGGUUAUAAGGAACCGUACCCCAAACCGACACAGGUGGUUGGGAUGAGUAUUCUAAGGCGCUUGAGAGAACUCGGGUGAAGGAACUAGGCAAAGUGGUACCGUAACUUCGGGAGAAGGUACGCCGCUGACGGUGAUGAGACUUGCUCUCUGAGCUAUCGGCGGUCGCAGUGAAAAGGCCCCUGCAACUGUUUAUUAAAAACACAGCACUCUGCAAACGCGUAAGCGGACGUAUAGGGUGUGACGCCUGCCCGGUGCCGGAAGGUUAAUUGAUGGGGUUAGCUUCGGCGAAGCUCUUGAUCGAAGCCCCGGUAAACGGCGGCCGUAACUAUAACGGUCCUAAGGUAGCGAAAUUCCUUGUCGGGUAAGUUCCGACCUGCACGAAUGGCGUAAUGAUGGGGGCGCUGUCUCCACCCGAGACUCAGUGAAAUCGAAAUCGCAGUGAAGAUGCUGUGUACCCGCGGCUAGACGGAAAGACCCCGUGAACCUUUACUAUAGCUUCACAGUGGACUUUGAACCUGUUUGUGUAGGAUAGCUGGGAGACUUUGAAGCAGUGACGCUAGUCAUUGUGGAGUCGUCCUUGAAAUACCAGCCUGGCAUGUUUGAGGUUCUAACCUAGGUCCCUUAUCGGGAUCGGGGACAUUGUGUGGUGGGUAGUUUGACUGGGGCGGUCUCCUCCCAAAGAGUAACGGAGGAGCACGAAGGUUGGCUAAUCCUGGUCGGACAUCAGGAGGUUAGUGCAAUGGCAUAAGCCAGCUUAACUGCGAGACAGACACGUCGAGCAGGUACGAAAGUAGGUCAUAGUGAUCC
rnacentral:rRNA from 1 species